GUGAAAGCCCAAAGACUUUUUAAAGAGUUAUUAUUAUGUAGAGUUUACUGAGGUCCUAUUCUGCAGCCGUAUCUGAAUGAUGGUAACCAGAAAAGUAGACAAGCUGAAUCCGGAGGAAUGGGGGGAAGUGCCCGGCGUGGGCACCUAGACAAAUGAGCUCUUCAAAUUGUCUUCGGCUUUAUCCUUAAAGACGGAAAGACGCUCAGAUUACCUGGUAUAAUUUCCUUUGACAGACUGAUAAGAGACCCAAAGAAGAGAAGGGACUUGCCCAAGGUCACAGAAACAAGAAAUAAAUUCAAGCCGUGGGUGGCAGAAGGAAUCAUCCCCCAAACCCAAGGUUCUUAACGCUAACCUUGCUUCAUAGAAGUGAAGAUCCUGCUUCUUUGUGCUCUUUAUUCAUUAAAAAAAGUUUGUAGGUCCUAGGAAAGAGAAUGAAGUAAAAACAUUCCCUUCCCAACAGUAGUAAAGAACAAUAACACGGAGUAAGAUGUGUCCGGUCAACCCAACUCCGUUGUUUUGCAAAGUAAAAUGAGUUCUGGAGAGGGCAAUUUGGCCAAGUCACACUUGACCUAGACUCCAAGUCGCCUACUUUCCUCCUUUACCAUCACUGAGAUUGUUUCAGUUGUUGCACUCUACCUUCCCGAAGCUGCAGGCAGAUUCUGUUAGCUUGGAAUCCUGGAAGAGAGACCGUUCAGGUACCCUGUUCAACAGUCGACUUCAACUAGAAUUGAGAUUUUUUUUUUUUUUAGAAGAAUGACGUCAAGACGGAAAACCAGGCGUGGGAACGUUUGCGCCAAGUCAGGUUCCCACCCGGACUCAUUUUUUCGGGUUCCAGGAUGUGAGGAGUAUAUAACUCCAUUUUCCGGAACUGUGCCUUUCCGCGAAUCCCUGUCCUUGAAGUUUAGCUUGCCUUUUUACUGGCGCGACGCUGGCAAGUAAGUUAAGUAUCUGGGCCACAUGGGUGCACGUUUGGAACGCGGUCAUCAAGAGAUUGGUAGUAAUAGAAGAAGCGAGUACUUUUUGCCAAGAUUUUCCGAAGAUUCUUGCGUCAAAACCCUUCCCCUUUCCUAAAAUGUCGGCUUGAGCCUUGCAAUUUGCACUCGUUCCAUUGAGGAAAUGGGAACAUUUGAAAGUUUUUAUAGGAAUUGGAACCCGACGUGGUAGCGGACGCUAGCGACUCGGGAGGCUGAGUUAAGAGGAUUACAAGAUUGAGGCCAACCUCAGCAAUUUAGUGAGGCCCUAAGCAACUUAGCAAGCCCCUGUCUCAAAUAAUAAAAAGGGCUACAGACGUUCAAUCCUGGGACCCCCCCCCCAAAAAAAAAGAGUCUCACCUGAAAUGGGUAGAUUAGCCCUGGGGUCUUUGUCCUUUAUCUCCGUGGUGUCACCGGUUCGUCGUCUUUAGGCCGUCAGUCUUUGCUUUAAUACUCAUGUGUCACAGUGGUUAGGGAGUCCCUGAUGAAGGUAGGGGGAGGGUUGAGAUUUUAAAUGGUAUGAUUUGGAAAGCCCUAAGAAAUGGAUUUUGAUCAAAAGUGGAGGUGUGGGAUGUCAGGAUUUAGGUGUUAUCCAAAGUACUUGGAAGCCCACAGAUAACUGGCACUUGCUAUCCUCCAGCCUCAGCCUCCCCAGUUACCGGGAGUACAGGCCUGUGACUCCAAACCUGGCUAAGUUUUGUUUUUUGAAACAUCGAGUUUCUCAAGAAUGGGAAUAUCAGGGGCUGGUAUCGAAGCUCGGAGGUAGAGCAUUUACCUAGCAUGCGUGAGGGAUUGGUUUUGAUACUUAGCACCACAUAAAAAAUAAAAUAAAUGUGUUACGACAAAAACCACAUUGUAUCAUUAAAAAAGAGAGAACGGGACUGACAGAUUUAGAUUCACAAUUUCACUCAUUUCCAUUAACUUGGUUGCUUAAGUUAAUCAGGUUCUUUACCAGUCCCUCCAGAGUAAGACAAGAAUAAUUGUUUUAUUUUGUUUUUGUAUUGGGGAUUGAACCUAGAGGUGUUUAACCACUGAGCCACAUUCCCAGGCCUUUUUUAUGUUUUUAAGAGACAAGGUCUUGCUGAGUUGUUUACGGCAUUGCUAAAUUGCUGAGGCUGGGUUUGGACUUGAGAUCCUCCUGCCUCAGCCUCCUGAGCCACUGGGAUAACAGGCGUAGGCCACCACACCUAGUUUAAGAAUAACUGUUAAUAUUGAGUGCUUGCUUUGUGUUAGGGACAGUUCUCAGCUAUUACAUUUAACUAAACUUUUACAACCACCUGUGAAGUAGCUGUUACUACUCUUACUUGUUUUUGUAGUGCCAAGGAUUGAACCCAGGGAUCCCUGUGCCCUAGACAGUCACUCUGCUUUGGAUCUAUACUCCCAGGCCCUUUAUUUAAAAGGUGAGUGAACUGCACCAUAACAAUGUUAAGUAACUUAUCCACAGCUAGUAAGGGGUGGAGCCAGGGUUCCAACCCAGAUUGUUUGACACCAAAGUGUUCACUCUAAUAGGUCAGUCUGUCUCAGUAUCCAGUUACUAAGGUUAUUGUGAGCAGUAAAGUUAAUGCAUAUAAAACAUGUAGUUUUGGUGCCUGGCUCAUAACUAAAUUGUAUUUGUUGCUGCUGUGAUUAUUUUGAGCUGUAAACUCUUAAGCUCCAAAGUAGAUAAUUAAGGUGGAUAGAUAAUUAAAAGAAACAGAGAGGCUAUGGCCUUCAGUUUUAAAGCUGGGACUCAAGGAAAAACUGUGCCCAAUAUCACACAGCUAGGGAAGUGGUAGAGGCAUUUGUAAAAUUCAGAUCUUCUAUGUCUCUGUGCAUUACUAUUUCUGUUAAACCAAACAGCCAAAGCUAAAAGGACAGUACAGGUGAGAAAAAUAUAUAUUUCCUUCAUGUGUUACUGAUUCUUUGAAAAUGUUUGUGAUUCUUUUCAAAGGAAAUUCUGUUGUAUGGAAAAAAAUUCUCAUGAGUUACUACUUUUAAGAAUUAAUGUGUUAAAUGGAGUAGGAUGGUACAUACCUAUAAUUCCUGUACUGUGGAGGCUGAGGCUGGAGGGUACAAGUUCAAGGCCAGCCUCAGCAACUUAGCAAGAUCCUAUCUCAAAAAUUAAAGGACUGGAAAAUUGUGGUGUAUAUGUGUCUUAAGAAUUGUAAUGCAAAAAAAGAAAAUUAAAGGACUGGGAGGGCUGGGGCUAUAGCUCAGGGGCUGAGCACUUGCUUCGCAUGUGUGAGACACUAGGUUCGGUCCUUAACACCACAUAAAAAUAAAAUAAAGGCAUUCUGUCCAUCUACAACUACAAAAAAUUUUUUUAAAAAUUAAAGGACUGGGGGCUGGGAUUGUGGCUCAGCAGUAGAGCACUCGCCUAGCAUGGGCGGGAUCCGGGUUCAAUCCUCAGCACCACAUAAAAAUAAAAACAUUGUGUUGUGUUCAUCUACACCUAAAAAAUAAAUGUUUAAAAAAAAAUUAAAGGACUAGGAGUAUAGCUCAGUGAUAGAGUGCUUACCUACUGUGCAAGGCCCUGGGUCAAUCCCCAGCACCACAUACACAUAAAAUAAAAAUUAAAAAGGGUUGGGGGAUAUUAGCAUCCACAAGUCCCUGGAUUCUACCCCAAGUACUGGGAAAAAUGUAUAAAAUGAGGAAAAUUAAAUGAUAUCUUGUUUUAUAUACAGCAGCAUGCUUCUGAUGUAAACCCUCCACUUAGAUGUAAAAAUACAGUAAUCAGAACUGCUCGACAUCUUCCUGAACAAGACUUAAUAGGGGCCAGUAUGCUUCACUUCAUCCAGAGGUUUUCUCAAGCAUCUUCAAAGGUUGGUUUAUUCAGCAAAUAUUAAGCACUGUUUGCCAAGAACUGCUGUGGCUGGGGCAGUAAAGUAAAAAUGACACAAAUUUUUAUUUUUAUGUAUUCAAGUGGGGGAAGGAGAAUUGGAUAAAAUACAAAGUAGAAUAGUAAUUCAAGUAGUAAGUAUUGUGGAGAACUAUAUAGUGAGAAAAGGGAAUAAGGAAUAUCAAGAAUAGUGUUUCAUAUAGCAGGGUCAGAAAUGAGGGACUGGACCAUACAGAUAGCUGGAAGAAGAGCAUUCCAAAUCUCCAUUUGGGGGAAUCUCCAAAAGGGGGAAAAGUUUUGGGAUCAUUCCUAGCAUGUUUGAAGAAUCAUCAAGAUUCUUAUAUAACUGUUAAAACUUUUAGUUUCAUCCAACACUUUUUUAGAUUAUUGUUCUGCUCAGUUGAAGUCUAGCAUCUGCUUACUAAAGCAUUGUAUAAGAAAAGGUAAUUACUCUGGCUCUGUACCUUUAAAGGCAGUGAAAAUAUAUGGUCCUAGCUCUUGAGUCUACUAAAACAAUGACAGUUAACACAUAGUUUUAAUUCACUGUGAGAAGAAUUAUGGAAGUUUGCAUAGGGUAUUCACACAGGAGCCUAAAGUCAGAUUGGAGAGAGAUUCAGGAAAGCUUAAAGACAAAUUUUAAGAAAAAAUGUAAAUAGUAGGAGCUAGAACUCUAGGCAGAGACAUGUCCAAAGGCAUAGAGCUAUGGAAAGUAUGCAGUGUUCAUAAAGCUAAAUUGGAAUGUAGAUUUUCUUUCAUAAAAUAGCCUUCCUACAGUAAUCACUUCUUCUUUUGUACUUUAUAAAUAGAAGAGAUAAACAAUUAAUAGACAGAUAGAAGAGACAGUUUAGAAGGGCUAGUGCUAAAGACCUUGUGUUUACCUGCUCUUCAUAAAGAUAUUUCUUCAUGGCAUAAAAUUAGUGGUAGGUCAAAAUAGAUCACUAGUUCUAUUUGCUAGUUUCUUUUGCAUGUUGUAUAGCAAUUUCUGUGUUUCAGUAAGUUUAAUAAUUCAUAUAUUUUUUAUUUUUAAUUGACAGGAAUUACACAUGUUUAUGGGAUAUAGUGUAUACUUGUUUAAUAUACUUGUUUAAUACAAACAGGAGGCUAAGGCAGGAGGAUUGCAAAAAAUAAUAACAACAAUAACAUUACUCUGGCAAUGUCAUGAGGGAAAUCUCUUGUCAGUUCAACCCAUCUGUAAAGUUUGAUGUGCUAAUAGAAAGGGUGAUGGUGGUGUUGUGUUUACUUUUUUGUUGUUUCAGAUUGGAAUUAACUAAAAAUCUAGUGGGUUUCAUUUUGUUUGUUUUAAUUUUGUUUUCUGGUUGUUUUCUUUAUAGAUGCUUAAGUACCCAUUCACAAUGAGCGUGGGAACCAGAAGGAGAAUAGAUAUACUUUCUCUGAAAUCAUCUCUUCAUCAGAACUUAUUCCUUUUGUUUCCUACAUCUUGUGUUUUCCCAUCAUUUCCAGUAUGUAUGAGCAAGACACGAUGGUAUCAUACAUCCCCAUGCAGCUUUAAGAAGAAGCAGAAGCAAGUAGUACUUCCAGCCAGGCCACCGAGCACCAUCACUUACCUGCCUGACAGCCCAAAGCCAGCAUUAUAUAUAACUUUGGCAGGACUAAUCCCUUUCAUUGCUCCACCAUUGAUCAUGGUCAUGACCAAGACUUAUAUCCCUGAAUUAGCUUUUACUCAGAUGGCUUAUGGAGCCAGUUUCCUAUCUUUUUUGGGAGGAGUAAGAUGGGGUUUUGCUCUGCCAGAAGGUAGUCCAGCUAAACCAGACUACCUUAAUUUAGCUAAUAGUGCAACUCCUAUUGUGUUUUCAUGGUUUGCCAUCCUUUUUUCUGAAGGACUCAGUGAAGCCAUAGUCUUAGUAAUAAUAGGUCUGGGGAUAGCAUUACAUGUUGAACUUUUUCUCUUGCCACAUUAUCCCAACUGGUUUAAGGCUCUAAGAAUAGUUGUCACUUUAGUGGCUUUUUUUUCAUUUGUAGUCACAUUACUACUUGAAGAUAUUUAUCCAGAGAAAGGACCCAAGUAGAAUAAAUAUAAAACUAUUUGAUCAAGUAGAAUAAAUAUAAAACUAUUUUGUAAAGUUGCAUUUUGGCAUGACCUUUUAUCUCUGUUUGGCUUUUUCCCCUUCACUAGCAGUGGUAGUUCUUUAUAUGUAGUUUUUCAUUUCUAAAAAUUAUUUCAUAGUAAUUGCUUGAGAAAGAACAGGAAAAUUCCUAACAGGUCUUUGUCAUGCCAUAUUAGGUUGAUUUACAUUCAGUCUUUCUAUGAAUGAUAUGUCAUCCACUUAAACAUUUCAAUGUUUGAUCUUUAAAAAUAUAAAAUAAAAAAGUAAGACCCUGGGUUUGAUCCUCAGUACCACAUAGAAAAAUAAGUAAAUAAAAUAAAGUUUUUUUUAAUCCUGUUAGAGCCUUAUAAUCAUUAAAACAAACACAUAUGCAACUGUAAUGCACUAAUAAAAAUAUUUAAAAGAAAUUCAAUGGCUCCCCAUGAUAUAGAAUAAUCAAAACCAGGAAAUGGGGCACUGGGGAUUUUAUACAUAUGUGUAAACAUAAAGUUGAAAAAGGAAAGGAGUGAUCUAAAAUGUGCUAUAAUGGUUUCCUAUUGAAGGUUGGGGAAGACCCCUGUAAGAUACAGGACAUGAAUUGCCUGUCAUUAAUGAUGAACUGCUUCUGGGCAGGACAGUAGAUGUGUGGGUGUCAUUUUAUUGACUUUGAACUAUAUGUUUACAUUUUCAUACAUUUCUGGGCAGCCAAAUUUCCCAGUUUAAAAAGAAAUUGGGGGCUGGUGCUGGGGCUCAGUCGUAGAGCAUACGCCUAGCAUGUGUGAGGCAGUGGGUUCGAUCCUCAGCACCAUAUAAAGUAAAAUAAAGAUGGUGUGUCCACCUCUAACUAAAGAAAUUUAGAAAAAAAGAAAAGAAAUUCGGAAAAAAGAAACAACACACACAUUCUCCCACUUUACAAAGAAAAUAUGCAUCUGUGAAUGCCUGAAAAUAGUUGGUUAUAUGGAGUUUCACUGCAGUUCCUCGUGGGUAUUUUAUUUUACCUGGUAUAACUUAGUUUUAUGGGCUUAAAGGAUUUGUGGCUCUAGAAUCAACAGGGAACAAUAUCAUGAGAGAAAGCUAUAUGAGAGAAGAAACAGAGACAUAUAGUAUUUAUGAGGCUAUUUGGCAAUAGAUACAGCUUUACCUCCAACACCAAACAAAAAAUAAAAUCACUAUUACAUAUAAAUGAUAAAACUCAAAUAGAACCAUCUUAAUAUUCUAAUGAACCAGCCUAUCUAGUUCUACGUCUAUUAAUUCAUAGAGAAGCUUAAAAAAAAAAAAAAAAAGCAAAAGCAAUCACUUGGAUUUUAACUUGAAAACCUAGUCUCUAGAAUUUCUAGUUUCACAAAAAAUUUAGGUGGUAUUAAGUACAAAUCAAUAAAUCAUAUCACUUGGAGUGUGCUGUCUUUGUACAAUAUAAGAAAUUGUCAGUUAACAAAUUUUACAAAUUAUAAGAUUAAUGUUGCAGUAAUUCCUACUGUGAAGAGCAAUAAUUUUGUUUACUUUCUUAUGGGUUGAAUUGUGUGUUAAAGUCUUCCUAAUCCCUUUAGCAUGUGACUUUACUCAGAGAUAGGGCUUUUACAUAGGGAAUAAGGUUAAUCUGUAACUCAAAUUCUAUUCAGAUUAAGGAACUUCUUUGCUUCUAAAUUGCAUAUACACUAUACUAAACUUUUCCUUAGUCUCAGUUAACUCUGUUACUUCCAACAUAGGAACAAGUCAUAUUUUUAAGAUACUUGCCUAAUUUCACUUAAAAAUUGCUAUUUUGUAGGUGAAUUAGUGUAUUCUUAAAACUGAUUUUUAAGAACAUUCAAUUAAGUACAUUGGACAGUUGGGGAUUUUUGUUGUUGUUUUUUCUUUUGCAGUACUCAGUAUGGAACCUAGGGCCUAGAACAUGCUAGGCAAGUGCUCAACCAGUGAACUAUGUUCCUAUUCCUUUAUAUUUUAUUUUGAGACAGGGUCUUGCUAAAUUGUCCAGGCUGGCCUUGAACUCAUUGCUUUUUGCUUCAGCCUCCUGAAUAGCUGGGAUUACAGGUUAUGUGCCAUUAUGUCUGACUUUUUUUCUCUCUCUCUUUAGUAAAUUUAUUGUG
rnacentral:tRNA from 1 species